rnacentral:rRNA from 1 species
GUAGUUGAUCCUGCUCAGAGCGAACGCUGGCGGCAGGCUUAACACAUGCAAGUCGAGCGCCCCGCAAGGGGAGCGGCAGACGGGAGAGUAACACGUGGGAACGUACCUUCAGUACGGAACAACCAAGGGAAACUUUGGCUAAUACCGUAUACGCCCGUAAGGGAAAGAUUUAUCGCUGAAAGAUCGGCCCGCGUCUGAUUAGCUAGUUGGUGGGGUAAUGGCCCACCAAGGCGACGAUCAGUAGCUGGUCUGAGAGGAUGAUCAGCCUCACUGGGACUGAGACACGGCCCAGACUCCUACGGGAGGCAGCAGUGGGGAAUAUUGGACAAUGGGCGAAAGCCUGAUCCAGCCGUGCCGCGUGAGUGAUGAAGGCCUUAGGGUUGUAAAGCUCUUUCGUCAGGGAAGAUAAUGACGGUACCUGAAGAAGAAGCCCCGGCUAACUUCGUG